rnacentral:rRNA from 1 species
CAAUAGCGUAUAUUAAAGUUGUUGCAGUUAAAAAGCUCGUAGUUGGAUUUCUGGUCUGAUGCCCUGGCCCGCUUCAAUUUCGAAGUGAGUGCCGGCUGUGCGUCUACCAUCCUUCCUACGUAAAAUCGUUACCUACCCUUUCACUGGGCCGGGUUCGCGAUCUAGAUCUUUUUACUUUGAAAAAAUUAGAGUGUUUAAAGCAGGCUUUUUGCUAUGAAUACAUUAGCAUGGAAUAAUAAUCUAGGACUUCGGUUCUAUUUUGUUGGUUUCUAGUACUGAAGUAAUGAUUGAUAGGGAUAGUUGGGGGUGCUAGUAUUGGCGGCCAGAGGUGAAAUUCUUGGAUUCGCUCAAGACUAA